rnacentral:rRNA from 1 species
GAUAAGUAAUGUGAAUUGCAGAAUUCAGUGAAUCAUCGAAUCUUUGAACGCACCUUGCGCCCUUUGGUAUUCCGAAGGCAUGCCUGUUCGAGUGUCUU